ensembl:lncRNA
UUUUAAGUAGAGGUGCACCUCUUUUAUUGGGUUUUACGGCUGCAAGAGAUCUGUAGUAUCUUAGAUUCUGAAAUUGUCAAUCUGGGCGGCACUGUUGUGCGUGGCAAGGAGUUGACAAUUGUAAACUUUCAGCAGAGCAGUUCAUUUGUUAAAAUGAUAAUUCAUCAGGAUACCAUAUUAAUCAUGUUUUUUUUUUAAAUUUUGGUCAAUGCAGAGUUCCAGAAGCUUAUGGCAGUUCCCCCUGAGAAAUUCAUGGCCCAUGUACACAUGCACUCAUGCACUGAGGUCAGUUGUCUGCGCCAAAGGGGAACCAACUGAUUAAAAGACUGCUUGCAACAUGGCUGUUUUCGACCAGCAGGCUCUUCCAGUACACGCAACAGGCUCCUGGCUUAUAAUCCCCAGGAGUGGCCAAGCAACCUCAGCCUCCUGUGAAAAUUGCCAGCUGACUUGGAUUUGAGUGAUAGGGCGAUUCAGAGACUCAACAAAACAGGCUCCUGCUUCAGGGCUCGCAAAAAGUGGUCAAGCAGCUUUAGCCUCCUGUGGAAAUUGCCUUGUGCAUCUGCCAACUUAGCGAUUUGAGUAACAG